rnacentral:rRNA from 1 species
CGCACGGGUGAGUAACACGUAUCCAACCUGCCGUCUACUCUUGGACAGCCUUCUGAAAGGAAGAUUAAUACAAGAUGGCAUCAUGAGUUCACAUGUUCACAUGAUUAAAGGUAUUCCGGUAGACGAUGGGGACGCGUUCCAUUAGAUAGUAGGCGGGGUAACGGCCCACCUAGUCUUCGAUGGAUAGGGGUUCUGAGAGGAAGGUCCCCCACAUUGGAACUGAGACACGGUCCAA